rnacentral:rRNA from 1 species
GUUAGGAAUAUUGGACAAUGGGCGAAAGCCUGAUCCAGCCAUGCAGCGUGAACGAUGAAGGCCUUCGGGUUGUAAAGUUCUUUAGCCGAUGAUUAUAAUGACUGUAGUCGGAAAAUAAGCCCCGGCUAACUUCGUGCCAGCAGCCGCGGUCAUACGAAGGGGGCGAGCGUUAUUCGGAAUCACUGGGCGUAAAGCGUGCGUAGGCGGUUUUGUAAGUUAGGAGUGAAAGCCCAGGGCUCAACCUUGGAAUUGCUCUUAAAACUGCAAGGCUCGAAUCUCGGAGAGGAUAGCGGAAUUUCCAGUGUAGCAGUGAAAUGCGUAGAUAUUGGAAGGAACACCAGUGGCGUAAGCGGCUAUCUGGACGAGUAUUGACGCUGAGGCACGAAAGCGUGGGGAUCAAGCAGGAUUAGAAACCCUGGUAGUCC